GACGAACGCUGGCGGCGUGCUUAACACAUGCAAGUCGAACGAUGAAGCCCAGCUUGCUGGGUGGAUUAGUGGCGAACGGGUGAGUAACACGUGGGUGAUCUGCCCUGCACUCUGGGAUAAGCCUGGGAAACUGGGUCUAAUACCGGAUAUGACCUCUUGCUGCAUGGCGAGGGGUGGAAAGUUUUUCGGUGCAGGAUGAGCCCGCGGCCUAUCAGCUUGUUGGUGGGGUAAUGGCCUACCAAGGCGACGACGGGUAGCCGGCCUGAGAGGGCGACCGGCCACACUGGGACUGAGACACGGCCCAGACUCCUACGGGAGGCAGCAGUGGGGAAUAUUGCACAAUGGGCGAAAGCCUGAUGCAGCGACGCCGCGUGAGGGAUGACGGCCUUCGGGUUGUAAACCUCUUUCAGCAGGGACGAAGCGAAAGUGACGGUACCUGCAGAAGAAGCAC
rnacentral:rRNA from 1 species